CUCCAUCGCACAAGCCCGCCACCCCGGAGGUCAUCCACCGCGCAGGCCGCCCGGGCCGCGUCCCGCCGACCUCGUCCUCGACGCCUUCGGCGGGGUCAGCGGCAACCCUCGACGCUUUAGUUGGUGCCGGGGUCCUCGUCCUCGACGCCUUCGGCGGGGUCAGCGGCAACCCUCGACGCUUUAGUUGGUGCCGGGGUCCUCGUCCUCGACUCCUUCGGCGGGGUCAGCGGCAACCCUCGACGCUUUAGUUGGUGCCGGGGUCCUCGUCCUCGACGCCUUCGGCGGGGUCAGCGGCAACCCUCGACGCUUUAGUUGGUGCCGGGGUCCUCGUCCUCGACGCGUUUGCCAGGAGCGUGCUGCUCAACCGCCUCCGCCAGUCCAGGAAGCCGCUGUCUCCCUCCCGCGAACACCGGCAUCUCGUUCUCGUGCAGGGGCUGCCACGUGGUGGCGGUGGAGAUCGACCCCCGCAUGGUGGAGCUGGCGAGGCACAACGCGAGGAUCUACGGCGUGGAGAACAAGAUCGAGUUCGUCGUCGGGGAUUUCUUCCAGCUCGUGCCCUACUUGAAGUGAUUUCAGGGAUACAUUGUAUUAUACAUGUGGACGUUCUCACUAUAUAUUGACAACUGGAGUUUGAGGCAUUCUGAGGAGUGAGCUGUUACAAUGUCGAGAUGUUUCACGAGCCUCUCGAGCUAUGCUACAGAUCUUUGUGUGCUUGCAAUGACAAACCACAAACCUAUAGCCGAUGGAAGAGCUCUUGAUUUCUUUUGGCAAGUAUCAAUAUGCUUUCAAAGGUUUUCCUCGCAACAAUUGAUGAAAAAUCAAACUACCAAUACAACUUGUUAUUGAUGGAAAAUCAAACUACAAAUACUACUUGUUAUUAUUAAAGCUACAAUGCCAAAACAGCAGCAGAACCAAGAAGACAGUAGACCUCGGCUCAGCCAGGCUGAUAUCAUAAAAAGAGUCAACGAGCUGGUCUCAAAGGUGAAAAACCAAACCAGCCGGCCCAGACCAUUGCCGAAACAAUAUCUCGGCACGUUAUAUUGGUUUCGGUCUCAGGUUGCAAGAACCAUGGAUCUGCUGUGGAGACAUCAGCUAAUAUUAAAAGCGCAUUAUCUGACCAACCUGCAAGCAGAUACGAUGACGAGGGUACUGUGGGAAUAACAGAGUUACCAUCUGAAAGGAAUGUCGCAAGUGACCAGCCAGAAGGAAGAAGCCCCGAAAUUGGUGGUUUGUCUCCUAUGCAUGGAGAUGGAGGCAUGUCUUCACAGCCUCGAGCCGGAAAGUAAGACAAGGCAAGUGGGGACGUGCAUGCUGUUCCAGGAUCUAAUGCUUCUUUGCAGGUGAUGGUGCGUGAUGUCAUAGUGACGGUUCCUCAAACCUUGCAGAAUAGGUUUUGCUGGCUUUUUUGAUUUGUCUGCCCAUUAACUUAUGAUCUCUUUUCAACUACAACAAAUGAAUUGUAUUGUGUAUUGAUGAGAGGAUCGCUGAUUCAUGGUGAUGCAGAAUGGUUGAUAUAUACUCCAUCUGUCUUAUAUUUUGGUACGGUGCGAUUACUAGGAUAUCGUAACCAAAGGCAAUUAUGUGAAACAUCCUAGCUUGAGAUUGAUUAUCAUAGAUAGAACCUUAUGGAAAA